AAAUUAAUUAGAUAAUAUCUAAAAAAGAUAUUUUAAAAUAAAAUAGAAAAAUAUUUUUAUAGGAUUUUCACACCCGUAAUCUGUUAUAGAAAACUUACUUUUGAAAUUAAAUAGAAAAAUUUAUAUUUUAGGAUUUUCACAUCAGUAAUCUGUUAUAGAGAACUUACGUAUUCAUUGCUAUUUCUAUUUCUAUUUUUAUUCUUAUAUUUAAAAUUUUUCUUACGGAAAGAGGAAAAUGAGCGCUAAUUUUUCCGCUAAAAAUGGGUCUGUCGACAGACCCAAAUUUGAAUAUACGUGCUUUUAUAUAUAGUAUAGAUAUAUAUAGAAUUAGGCUGGAAUACUAUUAAUAGUAAAACGUUCUUUUUGCUAUCAAGUUUUUAACCCUUAGAUGAAAAAUUAUAGGGUCGAAAUGAUAUUAGUCGGUUAGAGUUGAGUGGUCCCCCUAGGGUUGAGUUGUCCCUACUGGGUUAUAGUAUUUAAUCCAAUGGUUAGAAAUAAUGAAAAGAGUUGAUCCAAAGGCUAAAAAACUGGUAGCAACAAUGGGAUUUUGCUACUAAUU
rnacentral:lncRNA from 1 species